rnacentral:rRNA from 1 species
AUUGAACGCUGGCGGCAUGCCUUACACAUGCAAGUCGAACGGUGACGCGGGGCAACCUGGCGACGAGUGGCGAACGGGUGAGUAAUGUAUCGGAACGUGCCCAGUUGUGGGGGAUAACUGCUCGAAAGAGCAGCUAAUACCGCAUACGACCUGAGGGUGAAAGCGGGGGAUCGCAAGACCUCGCGCAAUUGGAGCGGCCGAUAUCAGAUUAGGUAGUUGGUGAGGUAAAGGCUCACCAAGCCGACGAUCUGUAGUUGGUCUGAGAGGACGACCAGCCACACUGGGACUGAGACACGGCCCAGACUCCUACGGGAGGCAGCAGUGGGGAAUUUUGGGCAAUGGACGCAAGUCUGAUCCAGCCAUGCCGCGUGCGGGAAGAAGGCCUUCGGGUUGUAAACCGCUUUUGUCAGGGAAGAAACGCUCUGGGUUAAUACCUCGGGGUAAUGACGGUACCUGAAGAAUAAGCACCGGCUAACUACGUGCCAGCCGCCGCCGUAACAC